AAACAUUCUGGUCAAUAGUAUUUCACAGAUGUUGGAAGCAACUUCAAGAUAAAUUCAGAAUGAGGUAGAAUAAUGAUCACAUAACUAAUGCAUAUCAAAAACUAAACUUGGCAAGUCAGCUCUACUUCAUGCUUGCCAGAACAUUUUCAUUUUAAGCAAAAUCCGUGCACACAGAAAACGUAGUAAAAACGAGAAGAAGUACGUACAUCAAUAACAUAGAAAAUGACAUAAGGCAGUUGUAUUAUCUGUAUAACAGAAAAGAAAAUGUCCAAAUUGCAUUCAAUUUAUCACAGCAAUUUUACCAACAAGCAUUGGGGCAUCACUUAAUUGGUUCAACACUCAUCUUUUCUUUCUGCUGAAUAAACAUGUGACCAGCAUCUAAACAUCUAAUUUUAAUUUCACAAACACUAACCUAAUUCCUUGUGUACAAAUUAAAUAUAUGAUAGAGAACUUCAUAGGCAUGCAGUUGAAAGUAAAAUAUCCAAAAAGCAAUAGAGAAUACUAACACAGGGGAAUGUAAUCUGGAUGCCACAUAUUCAUCCAACUGUCAAAUUUAUUUAAUCCACACAACUCGAGCUUUGUUCUAAAUGAAAAUGGUCAAAAGGAUCAAUUUUCUCUGCUAGCACCAAGUGAUAAGAUUAAGAUCCAUCCAUAGGACUUGGAUUAUGGACUCCACAGAGUUUCAGUUUACUCAGUCCCACCAGCUGCCACUUCCAAUAGAUGCCCAUCUACUCAAUCUUACUAGGUGCCCAACUUAUUCCAGAGAACGUGACUAGGAAACAAGCUAAGAGCUUGAAAGCUAAAAACUUUUCAUUCGACAGUAAAACGACAUGAAACAGAGAAUAACCUAAUUCAAAUUCAACUUGCAACUAGUUAACACCUACCCAGCCAGAAUUAGCAAUUCACACGUGAAACACCUAAUCAAAUCCAAAAUAAACCCUAAUGAGCAAAAUACAGCAAAUUAAUCAAUAACAAAAACAGAGUAAUAGAGAAAAGAAAAUGAAACAUACGAGAAAAUGGGCGAGAUUGACAAUGGUCCAAGCCAUGCCAGGAGAGCAACCGAAAACAGAGAGAACGAUAAGCCAAGCGAAGAAUAGUAUCAGUAUAUACGUAGUCCAUACUCCUGGAUACGUGAACCACUCCGUGUUUCUGUUCAGAUCCGCCGGUGGCGUCGCCUUCACGUAUAGAUUCGCCAUCAUAUGAUUUCUCUUUUUUCUUUCUCAAAUUAUUAUUAUAAUAAUUUUUUGUAAACCCUAAGCAAUCUGCUUACCAGCUCUCUUCGAUUAGACGGUUCUGUUAUGGAGGUUUUUGGGUUCACGUUCUGAAAAAGAGAAAUUGAAUGACAGGUUUUUGGAUUCAGGUUCUAAUAAAGAGAAAUUGAAUGAUUUGAUGAUUUUUUGCUUUUUCCGGAGACCAAUCCAAAAAACCAAAUGGCCUCAAUGACGGUGAUGGCGUGGCGAUUUGUAAUGAAAGCUUAUAGCUAAUAUUGAUUACUUUCUA
rnacentral:lncRNA from 1 species